rfam:Branchiostoma floridae genomic scaffold BRAFLscaffold_225, whole genome shotgun sequence.
GGCCGGUUAGCUCAGUUGGUUAGAGCGUCGUGCUGAUAACGCGAAGGUCGCGGGUUCGACCCCCGUGCUGGCCA